rnacentral:rRNA from 1 species
AGCGAACGCUGGCGGCAGGCUUAACACAUGCAAGUCGAGCGGGCGUAGCAAUACGUCAGCGGCAGACGGGUGAGUAACGCGUGGGAACGUACCUUUUGGUUCGGAACAACACAGGGAAACUUGUGCUAAUACCGGAUAAGCCCUUACGGGGAAAGAUUUAUCGCCGAAAGAUCGGCCCGCGUCUGAUUAGCUAGUUGGUGAGGUAACGGCUCACCAAGGCGACGAUCAGUAGCUGGGCUGAGAGGAUGAUCAGCCACAUUGGGACUGAGACACGGCCCAAACUCCUACGGGAAGCAGCAGUGGGGAAUAUUGGACAAUGGGGGCAACCCUGAUCCAGCCAUGCCGCGUGAGUGAUGAAGGCCCUAGGGUUGUAAAGCUCUUUUGUGCGGGAAGAUAAUGACGGUACCGAAAGAAUAAGCCCCGGCUAACUUCGUG